CAUGAACUGGCCGAUCACCAGCGGCACCGACUGGAUCCGCUUCACCUCCUCCUGCGCGCGGAGUAGCUCCCGCUUGAGAUUCUUCUGCUCAUCCUUGACGUACUCCUCCUGGAUGUCGAUGAACUCGAUCUGACGCUGGAGCGACUUGAGGCGGCCGUAGAGAUCCUCGUCAUCGUCCAGGGCACGGGUUGGGUCGCGGGAGGGGACGCACGGCGGCGGAUCGGAGAGCGGCGCCGCCGCCGAAGAGGGGGUGGAGAGGGGAUCUAUAGUCAUCGCCGUCGACAUGAGCGAGAAUUGAUUGGGAAACGGAUUCGUUGGGUGGAGUAUAAAGGUG
rnacentral:misc_RNA from 1 species